AUAAUAAAUCAUCAUCAACAUUAUUUAAACUUACCGAGUAUUGUGGAUUCAUGUUUUGAGUCUUCGAGUCUUCGAUUUUCGUAUUUUCUUCUUUAAACCUUCAACACUCCGACAUACUUCAUGAAAUAUGCCAACUUAAAAUUCAAAACAAUAUCCUCCUUAGGCAAUUUUCUGACAAAACACAAAAUUACAUAAAAAAUCUAUGCUCAACUAUCCAAAACUCAAAUUUGAAAUUCAUUGCCAUCACCAAAACAAUAAACUUCUCGUGUGAAAGAUCCAAAGAAACUACAAAAUUACAACUU
rnacentral:lncRNA from 1 species